rnacentral:rRNA from 1 species
AUUGAACGCUGGCGGAAUGCUUUACACAUGCAAGUCGAACGGCAGCACGGGGGCAACCCUGGUGGCGAGUGGCGAACGGGUGAGUAAUACAUCGGAACGUGCCCAGUCGUGGGGGAUAACGUAGCGAAAGUUACGCUAAUACCGCAUACGAUCUACGGAUGAAAGCGGGGGACCGUAAGGCCUCGCGCGAUUGGAGCGGCCGAUGUCAGAUUAGGUAGUUGGUGAGGUAAAGGCUCACCAAGCCGACGAUCUGUAGCUGGUCUGAGAGGACGACCAGCCACAAGGGGACUGAGACACGGCCCAGACUCCUACGGGAGGCAGCAGUGGGGAAUUUUGGACAAUGGGCGCAAGCCUGAUUCAGCCAUUCCGCGUGCAGGACGAAGGCCUUCGGGUUGUAAACUGCUUUUGUACGGAACGAAAAGGCUCUGGUUAAUACCUGGGGCUCAUGACGGUACCGUAAGAAUAAGCACCGGCUAACUACGUGCCAGCAGCCGCCGUAA